rnacentral:rRNA from 1 species
UCUUAAUCCAACAUCGAGGUCGCAACCCAUUUUGUCGAUAUGAACUCUUAAAAAUGAUUACGCUGUUAUCCCUAACCUAACUUAAUCUUUUGAUCAUAAAUUAUGGAUCAAAUGAACACAAAUUAAUGAUUUUAUAAUGAAGAGUUUCUUUAUUCUUCAAGUCACCCCAACCAAACAUUAAAAAUCUAUAUUAAAAGAUAAACUAAAAUAAUAAAAAAUUAUUAAAUGUUAAGCUCUAUAGGGUCUUCUCGUCCUAAAGAAAUAUUUAAGCCUUUUAACUUAAAAGUUAAAUUCUAAAAUUUAUUAAGAGACAGUUAAUUUCUCGUCAAACCAUUCAUACAAGCCUCUAAUUAAGAAACUAAUGAUUAUGCUACCUUUGCACGGU